AAAAACUAAAACUCUCUUCUUUAGAUGUGAUUUUUUAAUAUCAGUAGUGUUUUUUUCCAGAUCCCCCCCUUUUCUUUGAAAUUUUAUAGGGUAUAUUUAUAGAGUUUUUUAUGUGUUCAGUUGCUUUCUUUGUCUGCCUUGGUCCUUCUCUAUCUAUUUCCUGUUUGAUGUUUUUUUCCUUUGCUCAUCAUCUGCGUUUUUUCUACACCUCUGAUGCAUUCAUGAUUUUGAUUUACUUGCUUUGAUAUGUUCUGUUGCUGAGCUUUAAUUUGUCCCUUAGUUUAUUUUUUUAAACUCAAAAUUUUGUCUCUUUGUUCUGCACAAAGUAUACCAAGACUGACUUAAAAAAAAAUGUUUUUAUGUUUCUCUAAUUAGUUACAAAGCAAAGGUCAAUGACAACUACAUUUGAAACAGAAAGGCAGCAACAAAAUAGAGCCAAACACUGCAUCAGAAACAGAGAGGCAGAGAGGCAACAACAGCAACAAAUUAAAAAUUAUUGUAAUUUAAUUUAGUUUGGUUUAAAUCUUAUUUUAAUUUUGCCUUUAUUUUAGUUUGUAAUUUGAUUUGGUUUUAAAACUCUAAUUAGAUAAAAAUGUAAAUUUAUGAUACAUAAUAAAAUUAUUUAUUGUAAUUAUUUUUAUUUCCUUCCUUAUAUUUGUUUUCAAAAUGGACAAAAUUAGGGUACUACACUUAGUAAGAGUGAGAAAAAUAAAAAGUGUUGGACAAAGGGAGAGAGGUAAUAUGUUUAGAUUUUAUUUUGGUUUCUUAAGAUAUUUUUCGUAUCAAUUUAUCUCUUAAUUUUUUUUUUCAUUUAAUUUUCGUCUAUUAAAUUAUAGAUAUUUUGAUUUUGUAAGUCAAAAAGAG
rnacentral:lncRNA from 1 species